UUUUUUUUUUGUCUUUUCAGGGCUGCAUCCACAACAUAUGGAGGUUCCCAGGUGAGGAGUCGAAUCAGAGUUGUAGCUGCCAGCUUACAUCACAGCCACAGCAAUGUCCAGGUCCAAGCUGUGACCUAUACCACAGCUCAUGGCAAUGCCAGAUCCUUAACCCACUGAGUGAGGCCAAGGAUUGAGCAUGUGUCCUCACGGAUACUAGUCAUAUUCGUUUCCACUGAACCAAGACAGGAACUCCCCAAAUGUUUUUAAUACAAUGUUUACAUAAGUUAGCAUAAUGACUAGCAAUUCAUCAUGGAACAAAGUUAUACACUGAAGGCCAGUCAUAACCUCAUAAAAGGUGACUCAACUUCUGAGGGAUGUAGUUACAUUUUCAAUGUUUUUAACCAGUAUUUAGGUUUACAUGUCCAUCAAAAGAAGAAAGUAUUUACUAUGUGAACUCAGACUAUAUCACUUAUCAAUUAUUUAUCUAUUCAGAUAAUUUAUAAACCAAAGGGUCUUGUCAUGAGGUUCUGGACUUCCUCCCUUCUUUGAAAUGAUUGUGCCCUGUUGGAUAUAAUGAUUUCCUAACCGACUCAAUCUGCUUCACCAUAGGACAUAGACCAUUAUUUUCAAUGAAAGAAUCACUCAAGUGAAGACAUUGUACGAAACAGAGUGGCUAAUUAGUUGUUCACAUAUAUCCUACAGAUCCCAUUUAGUCCUUCCUAGAAUAUCUAGUUAUGUAUAGAUAGAUAAAAUUAAUUUAAUUCUGAGCCGAAAAUAACGUGUUAAUGUCCCCCCCUCCCCCCGUAAUGAGGGUGAAGAGUUAGGAUGAGGAUGUGUCUGUGUGUAGGAGGAAAGGUUUUCAGAGCUGCGAAUGUCGCCGAGCAUGCUAUAAUUUAAGGGUGUGAUAGUUGUCCUUCACCCACUGUCUUAUCCUAGUACCUAUGAUUGCAACGCCUCUUCUCUCCUUUUGUGACUCAUCAGGGCCAUUUAUAUUCUCAUCCUUGCACAGUUUUUCAGUUAAUUUUAUUAUUUAAUCCUGGAAAAAAUCUUACCUUAUAAUAAUCAGAUCAUAAUUUCUUGGAGGUGUACCCUUUAGUUGGGUUCCUAACGAUACGAAAACAAUGAAACAUGCUGUGAACUUCUAUAUGAUAAUUUCCUAAAGGCCUCUGAAUAGCUUGUAGAGCUAUGGAAAAAUAUUAAUAGCAGAAGCAUCAGGGGGAAAACAUUAGUAAAAAUUUAGGAGGCCUAUAUUGUUAAUUUUCUCAGCCAGGUCGUAGGAAGCUAGCCAAUUAGGGCAACUACAGAUGUUCAAAUCUUAUAUUUCUUCUGGAGUUUGGUACUUUAAAAAACCACAGAACAAGAAUUAUUCUUUCUUAAUUGCUCAUUACUUCUUUGUUAGCUCUACAACUGCCACAUAAACUAGGAUUAGGCUGGGUGUUGACAUGAAAUUUAACGCGAAGGAUUUUUACUGAGCACUUAUUAAGUAUUAAUAUUCUGUUAGGUGGAAUUCAGGAACCAGAGAGAGCCAAGUACUGAACCUCUCAUGGAGCUUAGCUAUAGGUGGAGAGACAUGCAGAUUAAAAAUAUGGAGGUAGUUUAGUAGGAUAGCUGUGCGUAUGUUAUUAGUACAGUAAAUAGGUUAUUAGUAAGAAAAACAAGAAAAGUGUCUGUGUUGAGAGGUUUAGGAGUACUCUUUGGAGAGGAUGACUCUGUAUUGGAAGGAGGCAAUGAAGGGACAUUUCAAGCAAGACCAACAGCAUGAUUAAAGGUACAGAAGAGAUUCUGAGGUAUUACUUAUACAAAUCAUUUCACACUAUCAUCUCAUAUAUGGUUUUAAAGAUACCUAUAUACAUUUUAAAAAUGAUACAAAAGAGAUUGGAAAGAAUUUCUCAUUGGUAGGAACAAGCCAUCUGCUAUUUUACAUAGGAAAAAUGAAACCCUAGCAGCCAGCCUGCAAGAUUCAGAAAUAAAAUCCUGGGUUGCAAAUGUUCAAGAGUUGAGACCUUUUACAGAUUAACGCACUUGUUGAUUUAACAAUAUGUGAAUCAACACAUGUAAAAUACUAGUGAACAACACUGCAAGAUGUCUGGCUAGGAUGAAGAUAAUAGAGAGAUAGGCUUCUGCCAAGGUAACUCGGUUUUAUGCAAUGCUAAUAUGUUACAAAUUCCUUAGAGUGAUUUAUAUUUCAUGACUAUUAUACAGGUAGAUCUGUUUUAUUAAUAUUGUAAGUCUAGGUCGUUUUCCAGCACAUAUUUUUUUUUCAGGUAAUAGUGUUUCUCGGUGCCUGUGUGCAAUAAAUUCUCUCUCUUCCAAAUCUGUGCUUUAGUAGCAAGUCCCCAAUCUGCAUGCAUCCCAAUAAAGUAAAAUGUCAUCGUGAAUAAAGCACGAUGGCCACAUCUCUGACACGAUCCUAAAAGAACCUGCCAGAAAAAGACUUUGAACUAGUGAUAAAAUAGAAGCAAAUUCCUUGCUAGUGAUCAACUGUCCUGAGGGGAGAGCCUUCAAGGUGGCCGUGGUGUCCAUCUAGCUAGACCCCUCUGCUCUCCCAGCACACAUCUCUCGUGCUCCUUGAGGAGAGCCUGCCCGGAUGGCUCCUGUUCUCUUCUUCCUCAUGAUACACACACAACAAUGGGUCAUUUUAAUCUAGUUGAACCUGGAGGCUCUCUGUGUGUGCAGCCACAACGAUGCUUGAUAUAAAGAUUAUUCAUUGUAAAAAAAAAAGUCUGUGGCUCACCAGAAGAAUUUAUUUCAUUUUGGUGUUCUUUAUACCCUUCAUUUUUGAGCCAUGGAGGGAUAGGAGAACAACAAAUAAUGUUGGAAGAUUUUUUUUGGGGGGGGUCACUAUUUUUUCACUUAGUAUCAAUCUCUUUGAAGUCAUUUAUGAGAUGAUGGCAUAGAAGAGUUUGUAUACGUAAUCGGCACUGUCUUGUAUCUCACAAGGGUCCAUUCCGGUUUGCCUUUAAUUCAAGAAUUGCUGAAGUGCCAGUGAUUUCCAGUGCUGUUCUUUUCAGUUUUAAACUCUCGCUUGCUUGAACAUUAAAAAUUAGAAUUCCUGAAUAUUAACAAUAGAGUAUGUUUAGUGCAUUUUAAGCCAUUUUCUUUGUCCAUAAGGAAAAAUAUCUCCAAAUUUGUUUAUGGGUAUAUUCAUUUAACAACUAUGUACUGUACAAAUUUUCUGGCAGAUAGGCUCAUAUUCAGGAAUAUUGAGCAACUCAAUUGGAAACUUAAUCUGACUUAAAUGGUCCCUGAAACAAGUGUCAUUAUCUUCCCAUUUGAUUUACACUGUACCUAUUUAAAUAUGCCUUUAAAUUACAUUCCUUUUGAACCACCCAAAGCCUCCUUUACACUGUGAUUUUAAUCUCUACAGUUAUAAGAAGCUAAAUCCUGAGCAAACAGUUGGAUUUUGUAGAAAGUUCACUGCCUUGAAUUUGUAAGAAGUUGAUCUGACAGAUUUGAUUUCCAUGGAGUAUAAGACUUUGCCAAUCAUUGUUACUUUAUACUAAGAAAUUAUAAAUCAGGCAAAAGUAAUAUGUCUAUGUUUCCUCCCUCAAAUUGAAAACAAUUGGUCAAUCUUAUUACCAUCACCCCAAACCAUAAUCCUCCCCCAGUUCACAGUUUGUUAAAAUCAAUAUAGGUGGAGGGGAUGGCAUCACUAACCACUAGGGGGCAGCAGACACCGGGACUAUGUGGUGUCAUUGUCCCCUUGAGGGAAUCAGAAGAUAAAGGGCCUGCAGAUCUCUGGGUGUGUGUACAGAAUAUUGUUCCUUGGCACACAGUUACAUCUAAAUUCAGAUUCUAGUGAAAGAAGCACACCAUACAUCUAAAUGCACGAUCAAUCAGGACUUCGUGGAUUCUUACCAUUUCAUUCUUAGAUCCACUGCUGCCUUUGAGUAUGUAAAUGAAUGGAUGGAAGGACAUUAGGAGAAAUCAAGAAAAAUCAGGCAACUAUGAAGGCAAGAGUGUGAAACUUGUCAUGUAAGAAGCAGCAGCUAGCUAGCUAGGUUUCAUUUCUGUGUCUAAAGAUCCUUGAGAAUUUCUUUCUGGAACGGAGGAGUUCUAGAUGUGUAGUCCCAAGAUCAAAAACAUUAGCCUCUUCCGGGAAUGUCAGAAAUGUAAAUUUAAAAUUUUUGGCAUCACCCCAAAACAACUAAACCAGAAACUCUGGGGGUAGAGGUCAGCAAUCUGUGUUUUAAUAAGCCUUCCAGGUUGUUCUGAUAUCAGUUAAAGUUUGAGAACCAGGGCUCUGACUGACAGUGGAGAUGAUGUGAAAACGACCAGGAGAAGCCUGAGCAGAACCCUAUGGGGCCUUCCUGGGACAGACAGAUCCCCCAUGGUCUCUGCCUGCCUCUCGUUUGUGGAAAAACUGUAGUCUCCCUGGUCUCCCACAAAUCACAAAAGCCUGGCUCAAGAAUUAAUGAUUGAAAGGAUGUGAACAUGUAGCCAUAAGAGUAGCAGUUGGGCUAGGAGAACAAUUUACCGGUAACAUUAAAUCAGCCACAUGGCAGUCACAGAAUCUUUAGUUCCUCCCUGAAGUACACAGACAAUGGUAUCUUAUGCCAGUUUCUGAGGUGUCUUACAGUUGUUAAAAACCUCACGAAAUGGAAGAAGUUAACUACAUGAUGGCCAUGAGCACAUGUCUCUAAGACUGGCUGGAAAUGGAGAAUUGAUCAUGUUAACCCUUGUGAUACUGCCCUGUUAACUCACCAUUAGCUAAUCAUAAAAUUGUGCACAAGUUGAUCAUACACUCUGUGACUCCCCUCCCUUACUUUGUCCUUAGAAACUUUUUCCUGAAGCCUACUGGAAAGUUUGGAUUUUUUUGACUUUUAGCUGCCUUGAAUUCCUGGUCUGGUGCCUACAAUAAACACUGAACUUUCCUUCAUCACAGCCCAGAGUCACCAGAUUGGCUUUACUGGCAGCAGGUGAAUGGACCCAAGUUUGGUUUGAUAACAGUAGCAGGAAGGACAUAUUAUAUUUACUCUAAAAAGAUCUAAUUGAGUUAUUUCUCUAAACUAUUAUGCGAGUUACUGCCUGUUGGGUCCUAAGCUACUCUACUCUUUGGUAUGUACUUAUGGUGAACACUGAGUUUUGAAUCCUUUCCAGCUCAGCAGGAAAGUAGGCUAAUCCUGUUGGGAGUAAUAACAAAACACUGAUAAUUCCCAGGCAAAGCACAUUAAAUGUAAAAGCCCAUGAGGGUGUGAGCUGCUUAUCAAGGCCAAUAAGUCAGAGGAUGAGAUGACCCAGAAGACCUCCAGCCUUUGCCUAAGUCAUCUGCACAUUAUAUUUUUAUGGAGGGAGAGAAGGAAAAUUAGCAAUGUCCAGGAUGGGAGCCUGCACUCACAGCAUUCUCUGAGCCAUAUAGCAUGGGUGUAGAAACUGCUAGAAUCUCCUUUUCUUCUGUAUUUAAUUCCAGCCCAUCUCUUUAAAAUCUCACUUCAGCCAAUAAAUACUAUGAGAAUCAUCUUCCUUUACAGAGUGAUCUAAUCUCUGUGCUCGCAGGAUGGUCUAAAAUCAUCCCCAACAGAUGCAGGCCGCUUCUCUAUUUAGAGAUGGAUGGAGAUGAUAAUUUAUCAGCCUCAUCAGCAGCUGUAGUAGCAGAAACAGCAUCCUGAGUACCCAGGGUACAGAGUAUAUUGUAGUAAGUACGGGAGCCACAAAGUCAAGGGACCUACAAUGUAAUUGUAGAAACAAAGUAGAGCUUUAAAAAAAAAUUACGGACAAAAGGGUAAGCUGUUCAGAAGGGCGGCCAAUGGGCAGGAAUAGUAGUAUGAGUUGUAAAAAUGUGGACUUACAAAAUCUCUCACAAUUAAUUACUCCUUUAUAUCCAAUAAAUAGACACACUGCCCAUUCUCUUAAUCCAAUAGAAGGUAAUGUCUGUGAAUUCUUUCAGUGCAAUAAAACUGAAAUUUUAAUACACUUGAAUCUCCCUAUAAUUCACAUAUCUGGGAUUAUGAGGAAACAUUCCAUUGUAGGAUUUGCAUAUACUUAUAUAGAACUUUUAUUUCCCUAGAGGGUAGAGAGCGAUUGCAGUUUAAUUUCUUAGAGUCUAUUUCUCAUUUGGUUUCCUGUAUUCUGUGUUUUGACUGUUUGCAGGGCUGUUGUGAGCCCAGAUGAAGGUCAAAGAGAAAUGCAUUGCAACCAGCACUAACAUGCUGUCUCCUGGUUAUCUGGUGGCUUCCUGAAAGUUCUAUAACUCCAAAGCCUACUUGAGGGUGAGGAUUUUGU
rnacentral:lncRNA from 1 species